UAAGAGGUCCCGCCUGCCCUGUGACUAUAUGUUUAACGGCCGCGGUAUUUUGACCGUGCGAAGGUAGCGCAAUCACUUGUCCUUUAAAUGGGGACCUGUAUGAAUGGCACGACGAGGGCUUAACUGUCUCCUCUUUUAGGUCAAUGAAAUUGAUCUCUCCGUGCAGAAGCGGAGAUACAACCAUAAGACGAGAAGACCCUGUGGAGCUUUAGACACCAAAACAGACCAUGUUAAACACCCUAAAACAAAAGGCCAAACUUAAUGCCCCCUGCCUUGAUGUCUUCGGUUGGGGUGACCGAGGAGAAGAACACAACCUCCAUGCGGAAUAGGAGUACUACUCCCACAACCAUGAACCCCCGUUCUAAUCACCAGAAUUUCUGACCCUACGAUCCGGCAACGCCGAUUAACGAACCAAGUUACCCCAGGGAUAACAGCGCAAUCCCCUUUUAGAGCCCCUAUCAACAAGGGGGUUUACGACCUCGAUGUUGGAUCAGGACAUCCUAAUGGCGCAGCCGCUAUUAAGGGUUCGUU
rnacentral:rRNA from 1 species